UUGUCGGGGUGGUCAAUCGCUCACAGUUCGUCUGUGGGAGGAAAGUCCGGACUCCAAAGAGCAGGGUGACUCGCUGUAAUGGUGAGUAGGCAUAGGGAAAACCUAUGCGAUGGCAAGUGCCACAGAAAUAAACCGCCUGGCAACAGGUAAGGGUGAAAAGGCGAGGUAAGAGCUCACCGGCGGUAGAAGAAAUUCUCUGCGCAAGGUAAACCCCACCCGGAGCAAACCCAAAUAGGCGAAGAGAUGCUGCUCGCAUCGCGAAAGGACCUCCUUUCAUUGCCCCCUCACCGGGACAAGCAUUCGCGGGUUGGGCGCUUAGUUAAAUGAUUGACACCCGAAAGGGUACAGAACUCGGCUUAUAACCCCGACAAUGAC
rnacentral:RNase_P_RNA from 1 species